AAUAACAUUUUGAUUUUUAAUCGACGUUUCGACUAGUUUGUAGUCAUCCUCGAGAUUGUUAAUCCUGAGGAUGACUACAAACUAGUCGAAACGUCGAUUAAAAAUCAAAAUGUUAUU
rnacentral:miRNA from 1 species